CACCCCUUUGUGUGUCCUAGUGCAGUGUGAUGAUAGUGUCCAAUGUUAUUCUUCUUUCCUUAUAUAGAUUCCCAUCUUGCUGGAAAUAAUUGCCCUGUCGUGGUUCUUGCUAGCAUUAUAUUAUUAUUCUUUUUUUUUCUGUUGCUGACCCGGUUUCAUAAUUUGACUAUUCUUACUCUCUGUAUCCCUUUGACCUUGGCUUGUUUACUUGCUCUUGUGUACCUCUGUAUCCCUUGACCUAGGCAUCCUUUAUUACUACGAUUUCUUGCCUUUUUAGGCAUACAUUAAGCCCGGCCACUCUAAAGUCCGGUAUACGUACCCUGUUCUUCCUUCUAAUUCGUCUAAUAUCCUUCACCCUGUGUGUAGGGGUUACCCCAAUCCUGACACAGAUAUAUUGGCUAUGCACAUGUGGCUUUCUGGUCCUUUCUAUGCCAUGACCUAUCAGUUGUGGACAUCGACUUUGCCUUCAGUGAUGCCAGACUCUGUUUGUCUUUUUACUGUCCAGAGGUCUGUGUUGUUGUUGGCAAGACCUUUAGUAUCUGUGGAAGAGUCUAAAUUGUUUGAGUAUGUUUCUCUGGGAGCUCCUUCCACAUUUCAGCUACUACAAGAUCCCUCACAAUUGUUACUAAAAUGUCGUGCUGUUUUCACACAACUCAUUGUUCAGCGAAUACUUUUCUUUAUUUUUGUUUUAAAUAACUUUCACAAAAAUCACACAUUGUUCAUUGAAUGUUUUCUGCAUGAGCUUAACCUAAUUUGCCUGAUAAUUAGUAAAUGCCUGAUAAUGAGAGUAAAUCUUCUAGAACUCGAAGAUUGGAGAAACUGAUAAGCUGCUGGUUGAAAUUGGAAGUUUCGUCCUAGAUUUUCACUGCAUUACUCAUUGAUGGCUUUUGUGGCACUGGAGACUUGCAUUAUCAGUUGGAUACAGAUAAAUUGAGAAACAUAUGGCUAAUGUGGCACUGGCGGCUUGUGUGUUCAGUUGCACACAGAUAAAUUGAGCAACUUAAGGCUAAUGUAGCACUGGAGGCUUGCAUGUUCAGAUGGACACAGAUAAAGUGACAAUUUAUGGUGGUUGGGCAAUGGUUAGGUAGACAGCAUAUACUUAAAUUUCUGCUGAAUAGAAUGAUCAUGCAGUUCUAAAGUUUUUUCUUUGUUUUGCUAUAUAAAAUAAUUGUGGCUAUUCAAACCAAGUAAUUCAGCUGACCUGUAGGUCAUUGACUACUGCUACUCCCAUCUUUAAAGGUGAUUUCUUAAAAUAAUUUAUAACGAUCAUAGCAGGGAACUGUGAUUUUCCCGGAUUUUUAAUACUAUAUACACUCAUUACAAUAUUUAGCAAAUAUGUAUUUGUCAGGCAUGAAAAGUAGAAUUAACUGAAGAAUUCCAUAGUUGUUUAUCAUGCAGACUGCCGCCUCAUUUCAGCUCCCUGUCAAUCAGUGGUAAAAUCUUUGUACUUUGUACUUGGCCGUUAAAGCAUAGCAAUAAAAGCUUGUAGAGAACAGGAGAAAUGAAACACAAUUAAGAUUUGCAAUAUUUGCCCUGGCUUCACCCUAUCUUAACAACAAUAUGAUGUAAUUUACAAAAAUAUUAAUAUAAUUUUAAAAGAAAAUUAAAUAUCUGAUCAAAAAGGGUUAAAAUGCAUUAUAGC